AUUGAACGCUGGCGGCAUGCCUUACACAUGCAAGUCGAACGGUAACAGGUCUUCGGAUGCUGACGAGUGGCGAACGGGGGAGUAAUACAUCGGAACGUGCCUAGUAGUGGGGGAUAACUACUCGAAAGAGUGGCUAAUACCGCAUGAGAUCUACGGAUGAAAGCAGGGGAUCGCAAGACCUUGUGCUACUAGAGCGGCCGAUGGCAGAUUAGGUAGUUGGUGGGAUAAAAGCUUACCAGGCCGACGAUCUGUAGCUGGUCUGAGAGGACGAUCAGCCACACUGGGACUGAGACACGGCCCAGACUCCUACGGGAGGCAGCAGUGGGGAAUUUUGGACAAUGGGCGCAAGCCUGAUCCAGCAAUGCCGCGUGCAGGAUGAAGGCCCUCGGGUUGUAAACUGCUUUUGUACGGAACGAAAAGCCCUGGGUUAAUACCCUGGGGUCAUGACGGUACCGUAAGAAUAAGCACCGGCUAACUACGUGCCAGCAGCCGCCGUAACAC
rnacentral:rRNA from 1 species